rnacentral:rRNA from 1 species
GGCCGCGAAUUCGCCCUUAGGGUUUGAUUAUGGCUCAGAUUGAACGCUGGCGGCAGGCCUAACACAUGCAAGUCGAACGGUAACAGGAAGCAGCUUGCUGCUUUGCUGACGAGUGGCGGACGGGUGAGUAAUAUCUGGGAAACUGCCUGAUGGAGGGGGAUAACUACUGGAAACGGUGGCUAAUACCGCAUAACGUCGCAAGACCAAAGAGGGGGACCUUAGGGCCUCUUGCCAUCGGAUGUGCCCAGAUGGGAUUAGCUUGUUGGUGAGGUAACGGCUCACCAAGGCGACGAUCCCUAGCUGGUCUGAGAGGAUGACCAGCCACACUGGAACUGAGACACGGUCCAGACUCCUACGGGAGGCAGCAGUGGGGAAUAUUGCACAAUGGGCGCAAGCCUGAUGCAGCCAUGCCGCGUGUAUGAAGAAGGCCUUCGGGUUGUAAAGUACUUUCAGCGGGGAGGAAGGUGUUGCGGUUAAUAACC